rnacentral:rRNA from 1 species
GAUGAACGCUAGCGGCAGGCCUAACACAUGCAAGUCGAGGGGCAGCACAGAAACAGCAAUGUUUUGGUGGCGACCGGCGGACGGGUGCGUAACGCGUAUGCAACCUACCUUUAACAGGGGGAUAACGGAGAGAAAUUUCCACUAAUACCCCAUAACAUCGAUCAAGGCAUCUUGCUUGGUUGAAAACUCCGGGGGUUAAAGAUGGGCAUGCGUUGUAUUAGGUAGUUGGUGAGGUAAUGGCUCACCAAGCCUACGAUACAUAGGGGGGCUGAGAGGUUAGCCCCCCACACUGGUACUGAGACACGGACCAGACUCCUACGGGAGGCAGCAGUGAGGAAUAUUGGUCAAUGGGGGCAACCCUGAACCAGCCAUGCCGCGUGCAGGAAGACGGCUCUAUGAGUUGUAAACUGCUUUUAAACAGGGAUAAAGCACAGUAUGUAUACUGUGUUGAAGGUACUGUAAGAAUAAGGAUCGGCUAACUCCGUGCCAGCCGCCGCGGUAA